rnacentral:rRNA from 1 species
UACGAAGGGUGCAAGCGUUACUCGGAAUUACUGGGCGUAAAGCGUGCGUAGGUGGUUGGUUAAGUCUGAUGUGAAAGCCCUGGGCUCAACCUGGGAACGGCAUUGGAAACUGGCUUACUAGAGUGCGGUAGAGGGGUGUGGAAUUCCCGGUGUAGCAGUGAAAUGCGUAGAUAUCGGGAGGAACAUCUGUGGCGAAGGCGAUACCCUGGACCAACACUGACGCUGAGGAGCGAAAGCCAGGGGAGCAAACGGG